UCUGGUGGCCUAAGUGGUUAAAGCAUCCGCUUCGGAUGCGGAAGAUCGCGGGUUCGAAUCUCGGCCUAGUCAU